AUGGCACUAGGAACCCUACUUCUCCUGCUCUCGGCCCUUGCAAGACCUGGGCGGAGCUCCACUCCUUGAAGUAUUUCCACACUUCCGUGUCCAGCCCGGCCGCGGGAGGCCGCUUCAUCUCCGUGGGCUACGUGGACGACGCAGUUCGUGCGGUACGACAGCGAUGCCGCGGGUUCGAGGAUGGAGCCGCGGGCGUGGUGGAUGGAGCAGGAGGGGCCAGUGUGGGACCAGGAGACACGGAGCGCCGGGACACCCGCACAGACUUUCCGAGUGAACCUGCAGACCCUGCUGCCGCUACUACAACCAGAGCGAGGCCGGGUCUCAUACCCUCCAGUGGAUGCAUGGCUGCGACCUGAGGCCCGACAGGCACUUCCUCCCUUGAGUAUGAACAGUUCGCCUACGAUGGCAAAGUUAUCUCACCCUGAAUGAGGACCUCGCUCCUGGUCGCGAUGGACCACGGCGGCUCAGAUUUCGAGCGAAAGUCAAAUGAUAGCUCUGAGGCGGAGCACCAGAGAGCCUACCUGGAAGACACAUGCGUGGAGUGGCUCCGCAGAUACCUGGAGAAUGGGGAAGCCCAGACGCUGCAGCGCUGCAGACCCCCAAAGACACACGUGACCCACCACCCCGUCUCUGACCAUGAGGCCACCCUGAGGUGCUGGGCCCUGGGCUUCUACCCUGCGGAGAUCACACUGACCUGGCAGCGGGAUGGGGAGGACCAGACCCAGGACACGGAGCUUGUGGAGACCAGGCCUGCAGGGGAUGGAACCUUCCAGAAGUGGGCAGCUGUGGUGGUGCCUUCUGGAAAGGAGCAGAGAUACACGUGCCAUGUGCAGCAUGAGGGCUACCGAGCCCCCUCACCUGAGAUGGGCCGCCUUCCCCAACACUCCAUCCCCAUCGUAGGCAUCAUUGCUGACCUGGUUCUCCUUGGGCUGGUCACUGGAGCUGUGGUUGCUGCUGUGAUGUGGAGGGGAGAGACGAAGCUCAGGCAGGGUGGGGAUAGCACCAGGAGGAGAUUCUGGGAGACAGGGCACUCCUGCAAGGACAGCAGGACAGCUCCGCUGGUGGCCGUGGGAUGCUCAGUGGCCCUGCCUGCUGCUCUUCUGGGGGAUGAACCGCCUCGCUUUCCUUUCCGGUGUUAG